CCCACCCUGAUUGUGAGGCCUCCCCAGCGACGUGGAACUGCUGGAGUGCAAUAUGGUGAUCUCGGCUCACUGCAACCGCCGCCCCCCCCAGGUUCAAGUUAUUCCCCUGCCUCAGCCUCUUGAGUAGCUGGGACUACAGGCACGUGCCACCACACCCGGCUGAUUUUUGCAUUUUUGGUAGAGACGGUGUUUCACCGUGUUAGCCAGGAUGGUCUCGAUCUCCUGACUUCGUGAGCUGCCUGCCUCGGCCUCCCAAAGUGCUGGGAUUACAGGCGUAAGCCACAGUGCUCGGACCAUAAUUUAUUAUUUUUCAUGAUUCUUUGGAUCAGGAAUUUGGGCAAGACACAGCUGGAUAGUUCUUUGGCUUCACAGAUGCCGGCUGGAGUCAUUUGUGUAGAUGCAUGUAUCUGAGAGCUUGGCUAGGGCUGGGACAUCCAUGAUGACCUUUAGAUCUCAGAAAACUCUGCCCACGUGACCUCUAAGCAUUUACUAGUUUUGGUUGAACUUCCUUCACUGGGUCCCAAGAAGAAGCAAAAGAGAGCUGCUAAGUUUCUUAAGCCUGCGUUCGGAAGUCCCAGAACAUCAAUUCUAUCAUGUUCUAUUUGUCAAAACACAUCGCAAGUCCAGAGCAUAUUCAAGAGGAGGAAAAUACAGUUCAUCUCUGUUAUGAGCAGCUUGCAUGAACAAGAAUGGCAGUAAUAAUUGGUGACCAUAUUUGGGGACUCUCUACCAAAUUAGUUAAAAGAGCACUAUGGCACCGGCCAUUUGAGCCCCUCUGCUCCCAAACCACCCCCUAAGAGCUGGAUGGAAAAUGGAAAACCUAUCAGGAGGACACUAUGAGUUUGGUAGUAACAAAGCUACAGGAUAUUACAGGGAGAGAAAGGAGGUCACUACCACCAACAGUGGGGUCCAGCAUGUUUGCUGGUGACAUCACUGUGAACAAGAGACAGCAGUGGAUGAUGAAAACAGCUAGACGAAAAUAUUCCAGAGUUGCAGAGAUUGCUUUGAAUUAUAUAUGAGAGCAUUCUCCUCUGUUUCUCUUACUUACAUUUUGGACCUCAGCACAGACUCUCGAAGAGACUUAAGGGUUUGCUUCCUCUAUUUGAAAGAUGAUCAAGGACACCUAGUGAUAGAAACUGUUAAGGUGACCUUCCUAAGUUGCACAAGCUGCUAAUGUCCAAGGGACAUUUACGUUGCAUAAAAGUAUAAUAUUUGCAUAUUCUUCUUAAUUUAAAAGAAAAUUUAUUUAUGUAUUUUUAUAUGUAUACCUAUACAUAGGAAAAUUCUGAAAGAAUAUAUAAAAAAUUUUACUGGUUA
rnacentral:lncRNA from 1 species